UUGGAGGGCAAGUCUGGUGCCAGCAGCCGCGGUAAUUCCAGCUCCAAUAGCGUAUAUUAAAGUUGUUGCAGUUAAAAAGCUCGUAGUUGAGUUUCGGGGUUCUACCGUUGGUCGGGCUUUGUCUGUACUGGUGAGUAGAAUUUCUACCUUCUGGGGAACCAUCAUGCUAUUAAUUUAGCGUGGUGGGAAACCAGGACCUUUACCUUGAAAAAAUUAGUGUGUUCAAAGCAGGCUUAUGUCUGAAUACAUUAGCGUGGAAUAAUAGAAUAGGACGGUGGUCCUGUUUUGUUGGUUUCUGAAUCACCGUAAUGAUUAAUAGGGAUAGUUGGGGGCAUUAGUAUUCAAUUGUCAGAGGUGAAAUUCUUGGAUUUAUUGAAGACUAACUUCUGCGAAAGCAUUUGCCAAGGAUGUUUUCAUUAAUCAAGAACGAAAGUUAGGGGAUCGAAGACGAUCAGAUACCGUCGUAGUCUUAACCAUAAACUAUGCCGACUAGGGAUCGGACGAUGUUAAUUUUUCUUGACUCGUUCGGCGCCUUACGGGAAAC
rnacentral:rRNA from 1 species